rnacentral:rRNA from 1 species
UACGGGGGGGGCAAGCGUUGUUCGGAAUUACUGGGCGUAAAGGGCUCGUAGGCGGCCAACUAAGUCCGACGUGAAAUCCCAAGGCUUAACCUUGGAACUGCGUCGGAUACUGGAUGGCUUGGAUUCGGGAGAGGAAUGCGGAAUUCCAGGUGUAGCGGUGAAAUGCGUAGAUAUCUGGAGGAACACCGGUGGCGAAGGCGGCAUUCUGGACCGACAUUGACGCUGAGGAGCGAAAGCCAGGGGAGCAAACGGG